rnacentral:rRNA from 1 species
UUAGUGGCGGACGGGUGAGUAACGCGUGAGCAAUCUGCCUUUAAGAGGGGGAUAACAGUCGGAAACGGCUGCUAAUACCGCAUAAAGCAUCAAAUUCGCAUGUUUUUGAUGCCAAAGGAGCAAUCCGCUUUUAGAUGAGCUCGCGUCUGAUUAGCUGGUUGGCGGGGUAACGGCCCACCAAGGCGACGAUCAGUAGCCGGACUGAGAGGUUGAACGGCCACAUUGGGACUGAGACACGGCCCAGACUCCUACGGGAGGCAGCAGUGGGGAAUAUUGCGCAAUGGGGGAAACCCUGACGCAGCAACGCCGCGUGAUUGAAGAAGGCCUUCGGGUUGUAAAGAUCUUUAAUCAGGGACGAAACAAAUGACGGUACCUGAAGAAUAAGCUCCGGCUAACUACGUGCCAGCAGCCGCGGUAAUACGUAGGGAGCAAGCGUUAUCCGGAUUUACUGGGUGUAAAGGGCGCGCAGGCGGGCCGGUAAGUUGGAAGUGAAAUCUAUGGGCUUAACCCAUAAACUGCUUUCAAA